rnacentral:rRNA from 1 species
UACGGAGGGUGCAAGCGUUGUUCGGAUUUACUGGGCGUAAAGCGCGCGCAGGUGGGUGAACAAGCCGGAAGUGAAAUCUUGAGGCUCAACCUCGAGGCUGCUCCCGAAACUGUUCGCCUAGGGACUGGUAGAGGCUGGUAGAAUUCCCGGUGUAGCGGUGGAAUGCGUAGAGAUCGGGAAGAAUACCUGUGGCGAAGGCGGCCAGCUGGGCCAGAUCCGACACUGAGGCGCGAAAGCGUGGGGAGCAAACAGG